rnacentral:rRNA from 1 species
UACGUAGGGGGCAAGCGUUGUCCGGAAUCAUUGGGCGUAAAGAGCGUGUAGGCGGCCUUGUAAGUCUUGCGUGAAAUCCUGUGGCUCAACCACAGACGUGCGCGGGAAACUACAAGGCUAGAGUCCGGAAGAGGAGAGCGGAAUUCCUGGUGUAGCGGUGGAAUGCGCAGAUAUCAGGAGGAACACCCGUGGCGAAGGCGGCUCUCUGGGACGGUACUGACGCUGAGACGCGAAAGCGUGGGGAGCGAACAGG